UACGGAGGAUUCAAGCGUUAUCCGGAUUUACUGGGUGUAAAGGGAGCGUAGGCGGUGCAGCAAGUCAGAAGUGAAAGCCCGGGGCUCAACUCCGGGACUGCUUUUGAAACUGUUGGACUAGAUUGCAGGAGAGGUAAGUGGAAUUCCUAGUGUAGCGGUGAAAUGCGUAGAUAUCAGGAGGAAUACCGUUAGCGAAGGCGGCAAUCUGGCUGGAAACUGACGCUGAGGUGCGAAAGCGUGGGUAGCAAACAGG
rnacentral:rRNA from 1 species